rnacentral:lncRNA from 1 species
CAGGAAGUGACACUUAAAAUAGCAAAACUUGUGAGCUUUCUGGCUACAGUGACAUUUUCAAUACUGCAUGGGAUGGAUUCAUUUGAAGUUGCAGGGACAAUGGGUAUAUACCCUGCAGAUAUCAUAUCUUUCGUUCUCACACUGUUUCAGCUCAUCUACUUCCUGCUUUGCUGUUGUGCAGGGAUCAUAAUCACCAGCUGCGUGUUCAACUGAUGAUGAAAUAAGGUUGAACUCUUCACACCUGCCGAAGACCAAGAAUGAUAUGUGGGGGUGUGUCGCUCCCUAAAGUGGAUUGAGAGAAGGCCUUCAUGUGCUUUUCUUGGUCUGUUUUGCAUUGCAUCCUCCAGGAUAGCCUUAUCUACAUAAUAAAGAGGAGUCACAGUCUUCUCAGGCAAG